AUACGUAGGGUGCGAGCGUUGUCCGGAAUUACUGGGCGUAAAGAGCGCGUAGGCGGUUUGUUGCGUCGUCUGUGAAAUUCCGGGGCUUAACUCCGGGCGUGCGGGCGAAACGGGCAGACCUUGGGUCCUGUAAGGGAGACGGGAAUUCCUGGUGUAGCGGUGAAUUGCGCAGAUAUCAGGAAGAACACCGGGGGCGAAGGGGGCUCUCUGGUACGUAACCGACGCUGAGACGCGAAAGCGUGGGGAGCAAACAGGAUUAGAUACCCUGGUAGUCCACGCCGUAAACGAUGGGUGCUAGGUGUGGGCGGUGUCGACUCCGUCCGUGCCGAAGCUAACGCAUUAAGCACCCCGCCUGGGGAGUACGGCCGCAAGGCUAAAACUCAAAUGAAUUGACGG
rnacentral:rRNA from 1 species